AUCGACUCCAAAGUCUGUGAUCUUAACCACAGAUUUACCCUACUUAGCCAUCUCCUUCAAAACAAUGCAGGAUGAACCCUUUUUUUGUAAUCCUGUAAGUCAGGAGAGCCCUGCCCCGAAGUCGUCCUGCCUGGCCCUGGCUGAGCUCUGGGGACACUGAGACCUCGCCUGCUCCGCUGCUGUUGUGGUCUUUGUGAGUCGUUUUUCUGGGAAUGCCUCUGAAUGUGAGACGGCACGCACGAAACCCAAUCUCUACGAAAUCCAAUUCCUUAAUCUCCUUUGAGGCUAAUGCCCUAGCCGUUUCUCCAGCGCUGGGAGAAGGACACUGUGGGCUCCGCGGUGGGCGUGGAUGACCGCACAGCCCGAAAGGCUUGAGAGGUGUCGGCCGCCGCGCGCGCCGGGCCGGCUGUCCCCAGAGGGCGCUCUAGCUCUCCCCUUCCGCGGGAGGGGGCUCGCGGUCCGGCCAGAGCACAACCGACCUCUGCCUAGAACUUCGUCCAGAGACCCUGAAGCCUCCCACACCCUCACAUUUCCGAAGAAUUAUGGCUGGGACUCUCAGCACAAGCUUGCCAGAUUCUCAUACCAAAUACACUCAAGGAAAGGGCCCCCCAAGAAUGUUUCAAUACGUUAGUCUUCCAAAGACAGUAGCUUGAUGACCGUAGGAUUUGCAGCCAGCUUCUCUUUCUCUCAGAUCCAGUCUUGCCCUUGCGCUACUCUGCGGUGAGCGGAAGCGUGGAUUUCCAGGCCGCUGGGUUUGCUGACUGGGUUUGGCCAGUGGAGGUGCUGUCAGGAGAUGGGAGUGGACCCAGAAGGAAGAAACCAGGUUAUUUCUUACCCUCUUUACUGCAGGCGGCUUCUCCGGCAGUGGCUGGGUCUCCAUGAGGAGUGGAUUUCUGAGGUUCCAGCCAUCACUGGAUGGCCUGCUCCUCCUGGUAGCUGUUCGUCCUCCGCUGCCUCAUGUCCAGGGUGGUAGUGGCUUCCUGUGCUUGCAGAUCUCCGGGUUGCUUCACUGUGGCUGAUUCCCUGCAUUGCAACCCUGGGUUGUAAAUGCUGGCACAAGGCCCAGGGCCCCAUCGUCUCAUCCCUCUGCAGAGGCCCAAGUACCGUCCGUCCUAGGGAGCCGCGUGCAGCAGUGCUGUGAUGAGUAAUGUUUGUGUGCUGUGUUCACAACCUCUUUGUCCAAGAACGGUGUGGUAUGGUGACAAGACGUGAGACUUCGACACUAGGUAAAUCUGGGUUCAAAUCUUGCCCAAGUCAUUUGCUGUCUGUGUGGCCUUGAGUAAGGUAUUAUUAUCAAUGUUAUCAUCAUCAUUAUUUAACGCCAGUGAAAUAAUCUUCAACACUCUUAAAAUAUGAGCAAACCAGAUUUUUCACUCAGAUUCCAAACUCACUCAGAGAGUUAGAAAUCUAUUCUGUAUCUAUACAGUUAUAUAAAGAGAAAUGAAUUCUUUUUUUACUUGGUUUGACUCAUAGACCAAAAAAAAAAAGUGACUUACUCAGGACUAUGCUUCACUCUAUACUCCCAGGCAGAAUUACAUGCAGAAUUUCUAUACCUUUAAUACAUUGUCCAAACCCAAGCAUAUAUGUAUCUUCCAGUUUUUCCCCUUAUUUUAACAGAAAGGCACAUUUGAAAUAUGAAAGCAUUCCUGGUUGAAGUCAUGAGAAAUCAUCCUCUUUGAAAAGAGUGGAAAGAAGAGGGAAUUUUUCAGAGAAUGAAACCACAAUAGAAAUCAAGACUGGACUGGGCACAGUGGCUCAUGCCU